rnacentral:lncRNA from 10 species
GCCAAUCAGCGGAAGCCGCCGGGGCCGCCUAGAGAAGAGGCUGUGCUUCGGCGCUCCGGCUCCUCAGAGAGCCUCGGCUAGCUGGGAUUCUGUCCCUGACCGUCUUCACAGUCCAGGUGAUCUUGACUACUGCUUUACAGAGAAUUGGAUCUGAGGUGUGGAAACAGGAAGAGAACUAGAACUGGAAGUAAAGCAUUGAAGAUGUGACUGAAUUGCUGCAAUCUCAUGAUCAAAUUUGAAUGGAUGAGGAGUUGCUUUUUAGGGAUGAGCAAAGAAAGUGGUUUCUCGAGAUGGAAUCUACUGGUGAAGUUGCUGUGAACAUUGUUAAAAUGCCAAUAAAGGAUUUAGGAAUUACAGAAACCUGGUUGAUAAAGCAGUGCCAGGGUGUGAGAGAGUUGACUUCAAUUUUGAAAUAAGUUCCACUGGCUGGGUGUGGUGGCUCACACCUGCAAUCCCAGUACUUUAGGAGGCCGAGACUGGUAGAUCAUUUGAGGUCAGGAGUUCAAGACCAGCCUUGCCAACAUGGUGAAACCCCACCUCUACCAAAUUAGCCAGGUGUGGUGCACACCUGUAGUCCCAGCUACUUGGGAAGCUGAGGCAGGAGAAUCUCUUGAACCAGGGAGGAGGAGGUUGCAGUAAGCCGAGAUGGCGCCCCUGCACUCCAGCCUGG